AACGAACGCUGGCGGCAUGCCUAACACAUGCAAGUCGAACGAGACCUUCGGGUCUAGUGGCGCACGGGUGCGUAACGCGUGGGAACCUGCCCUUAGGUUCGGAAUAACUCCCCGAAAGGGGUGCUAAUACCGGAUAAUGUCUUCGGACCAAAGAUUUAUCGCCUUUGGAUGGGCCCGCGUUGGAUUAGCUAGUUGGUAGGGUAAAAGCCUACCAAGGCGACGAUCCAUAGCUGGUCUGAGAGGAUGAUCAGCCACACUGGGACUGAGACACGGCCCAGACUCCUACGGGAGGCAGCAGCGGGGAAUAUUGGACAAUGGGCGAAAGCCUGAUCCAGCAAUGCCGCGUGAGUGAUGAAGGCCUUAGGGUUGUAAAGCUCUUUUACCCGGGAUGAUAAUGACAGUACCGGGAGAAUAAGCUCCGGCUUACUCCGUG
rnacentral:rRNA from 1 species